rnacentral:rRNA from 1 species
UGGGAGUGGCACACUGCUCAGUAACACGUAGCUAACCUACCCUUAGGACGUGGAUACCCCCGAGAAAUUGGGGUUAAUCCGCGAUAGAUGUAAUGUCCUGGAAUGGUAUUACGUCUAAAGGUAUUUCAUACAUGUUUGAAAUAUGCCUAAGGAUGGGGCUGCGGCCGAUCAGGCUGUUGGUGAGGUAAUGGCUCACCAAACCUUUGACCGGUACGGGCCAUGAGAGUGGUAGCCCGGAGAUGGACACUGAGACAAGGGUCCAGGCCCUAAGGGGCGCAGCAACCGCGAAACCUCCACAAUGCACUCACGUGCGAUGGGGCUAUCUCGAGUGCCACCUGAUGAAGGUGGCUUUUCCUUGGUCUUCAAAGCCUUGGGAAUAAGAGGGGGGCAAGACUGGUGUCAGCCGCCGCGGUAACACCAGCCCCUCGAGUGGUGGGGAUGAUUAUUUGGCCUAAAGCGUCCGUAGCCGGCCGUGAAAGUCUUCCGUUAAAUCCAGCGUCUCAAGCGUUGGACCGCGGGAGAUACUACAUGGCUAGAGAGUGGGAGAGGUCAGCGGUAUUCUGGGGGUAGGGGCGAAAUCCUUUGAUCCCCGGAGGACCACCAGUGGCGAAGGCUGCUGACUAGAACACGUCUGACGGUCAGGGACGAAAGCUGGGGUAGCGAACCGGAUUAGAUACCCGGGUAGUCCCAGCCGUAAACGAUGCAUGCUAGGUGUUGGGUUGGCCACGAGCCACCCCAGUGCCGCAGGGAAGCCGUUAAGCAUGCCGCCUGGGAAGUACGAUCGCAAGAUUGAAACUUAAAGGAAUUGGCGGGGGAGCACCACCAGGCGUGAAGCCUGCGGUUUAAUUGGAUUCAACGCCGGG